rnacentral:lncRNA from 1 species
AUGAGCCCCUCCCAGGGCCAGAUGCCUCCCAGGGGGCUUCCCUGCUCCAUGCGAGCCCUGAGGAAGAUCCCAGGGGCUUCGGCUUCCCCUUUGCCUGCCCCGGGGGAGCUGCCCCUGCCUGUCUGCCUUCUCUCUAGGUGCGCUGGGGGGCUUGGAGACCCCCUGUUGUUCCCACCAGCUGCUCAGCUGCGGCUGCCCCCACGGGGAAGCACCCCAAAGCCUGGCUGGGUGCAGGGCUUGGCGCAGCUCCCUGCCAGGACACGUGUGUGUAGGAGCAGGUGGCCCUUGGAGAGGCUGGAGGGCCCUGGCAGGAAAGCUGUGCCUGGAUUUGGGGGGGUUUCUGCACAUUCCCAUGGCUGCGGGGACAACGGUGCAGGAAAAAGGGAAGGUUUUCAGCUGAACUUCAACCCAGGAAUGUUUUUGCUCUGCUGCGACUGCAUUAAGGACAUGCUCUUUUUUUUCAUUUUGUUGGUUUUGCCUGCAUUAAAGCGAGACCCGCUGGCAAAGCCACUUUCUUGUACAGCCACAUCCCAAAGGAAAACCCAGAGGGAGGGCCUGGUCCGAUCCUUCUGGCACCCGGGGCUGCGAGGCCCCCCGGCAGCCCUCGGUGCUCCGAGCGGAGUGCCUGGGGCUGGACGGGGAAGCAGGAAGGCAUCCGCCUCUCAGAAGACAAGCGGGAGGCAGUCGGUGACCUUGCACUUGCCGUGUUUACAAGCCGGCGUGUGGCGGCACGUGCCUCGCAGGCAGCGCUGCGCGGGGACGUGGGGAGCUGCUUACCGCACGGCAAAUCCUCACCGCUUGACCCCCGCUCGAGGGUUCAGACGUGGCUUAAGUGGUGUUAUGAGAUGGAUUUUAGGGCCUGCUUCUGUUUACUUGAUGAAAAGGCUGCUCUGGAAGCGCAGACAAAAGUUGGAAAUGCAGCCUCGCGGAUCAGACAGUGCUCGCUGUGGGGUAAGGGAACAGCUCCUCCACGUCCGUAAUCACAGUCAGGGUCCUAAUCCCCCGACAAGAGGGGCUGGGGGGGAGCUGCGCCAACCUAACCCAGCCCAACCCAACCUAAAAACCUCACCUUUUCAGGUUUCAAAACACAACACUUUAUUUAACCUGGAACUAGCCUUUUAUUUGGGCUUGGGGUUUUCAGAAAUCACAGACAAAGAUUGUUUGGAAACAGAUAAGAUGCAUUUUCACAUGGGUGAAAAUUCACAGUGA